AGCGAACGCUGGCGGCAGGCCUAACACAUGCAAGUCGAGCGGCAGCGCGUCCGACCACCCUCGGGUGGUCGGAUGGCGGCGAGCGGCGGACGGGUGAGGAAUGCAUCGGAAUCUGCCUCGUUGUGGGGGAUAACGUAGGGAAACUUACGCUAAAUACCGGCAUACGACCUACGGGUGAAAGUGGGGGACCUUCGGGCCUCACGCGAUGAGAUGAGCCGAUGCCGGAUUAGCUAGUUGGCGGGGUAAAGGCCCACCAAGGCGACGAUCCGGUAGCUGGUCUGAGAGGAUGAUCAGCCACACUGGAACUGAGACACGGUCCAGACUCUACGGGAGCAGCAGUGGGGAAUAUUGGACAAUGGGGG
rnacentral:rRNA from 1 species